rnacentral:lncRNA from 1 species
AAGUAAUUUAUAUGUGUGUGUGUGUGUGUGUAUAUAUAUAUAUAUAUAUAUAUGCAAAAUCAAAUAUGCACUUUAUAUAUAAAAUAAUUAAAAAUGCAUUUUCAGUAACAAUUAUUUUAAUAAAAAUAUAUAUUUUCCUAAUUAAAAUAAUGUAUGUAUUAUAUGUGUGUUAUUUUAAUUUAAUAAUUAUCUAAAAUUCUUCCUAAACUUCAUUAAUGUCUCUGCUAAUUUUAUAAUGUUCUGAGAAAAUGUAACUGUUGCCAGAGGAUGUGAAAAAGGCAAAUAGACUAAAUUAAAUUUGGCCCAUCAUUGUGUUAGAAGACAUUGCUCUGCAACUGAGACUUAAUAAAUAGAUGGCAAAUCUGGAUUAGUUUCCUGAGACUGCUGUAACAAAGUGACGGAAACCGGAUCGUUCAACCCAGCAGAAAUUGAUUGUCUCACAGUUUUGGAAGCUAGAAGUCCAAACUCAAGGUGUUGGCAAGGCCAAGCGUCUUCUAAAUCCUCUAGGGGUAGAUCAUUCAUUCUUGUCUUCAUUUAGCUUCUGGUAGUGAAAACAUCUUCAUAAAGUUGAUAAAAUUCAUUGCCAGGUGUUUUUUGACAGAAGUAUAAGUCUAGUUAUGGCUUGGCAUUAACUUUUAACCAGCCUGCCCUUUGGCUCACUUCCUUACAGUUUUUUCCCUUAAGUCAGGUAGACCAGGUCACAAGACACUAUCUUCCCUUAAUCAUUACCACAGAAAACGUCUUUUAUAUUGAGAAGCCUCAAGCUUUCCAUUUAAGAUGCUUCACAGAUUUCGCAUUCCGGCAAAACUACCAUUGCGAGCUAGUCUGGGAGCUCUCGCUGAGGAGCUGACUCAAGUGAAGAAUGCAGUUUCCGCAUCCGAAAAUCUUCAUCUAAAAAGAUUCCAUACUUUGGCUGCACAUUGCAACCGACUGGGAAGGACCAACACAGAAAGCCCCUUGAGAUGAGCCUUUACCAGAGAUGAAUUCAGUUAACAUCUGAGUUUGACUCUUUUCAUCAAUGCUAUCAUCAUGAAAUGCCAGCCUGGGAUUGCUGCAGGCAUGAGAAUCCAACCCAAAAGACCUGAAAUAUGGACUAAAUCAAACAAAGACAUGAAGAUGGGGCUGCCCAAGGUCUUGAGUCCAAAAUUCUGCCCCAGUGUGCCCAGGAUGCUAGACAAGGAGUCAAAGAAGGUUAUUCUCCAGGUUUAAUAUUUAAUGUUGUUUUCUCUGUUGGGUUUUGGAUUUAGUGGAGGCAGUCAUGCUUUUCUUCAUGCCUAUAUGUCACUUUUUGGGAUGGAAAUUGUCUAUUAUAUGUCUAUUUCACCAUUGUAUUUUGGAGCUAGGUAACUUGUUAAUUUCAUAGGCUAGCAGCUGGAGAGGAAUUUGUUACAGGAUAAAUCCUGCCUUGAGUUUCACUCAUAUCUGACUUAUAUGAGACUGGUUUUUGCUGAAGUGAAUUAAGGCUUUUGGGGCUAUUGGGAUAGAAUGCAUAUAUUUUGUAUGAAAGAAGAAAAUGAGAUUUUGGAGGUCAGGGGAAAAAAUGCUAUAAUUUUGAAUGUUCUCUCCAAAACUCAUGUUGAAAUUUGACUACCAUUGUUUUGGUAUUACUGGGUGAGGUCUUUAAGAUGUGAUCAUCUCAUAAAGGCUCUGUCCUGGUACAUGAACUAAUGCCCUUAUUGAGGAAAUGGUUUAGUUAUCAGAGAGGCUUCUUGAAAAGAUAAUCAAGUUUGAUCCUCAUUCUCUCUGUUCUCAUGCUUGUUCUCUUGCCCUUUCAUCUUCCACCACAAUAUAAUGUAACACAAAGGCCCUCACCAGAUGCAGCCACUUUGAUAUUAGACUGCCUAGUCUCCAGAACUGUGAGAAAUGUUUUAUAUAUAAGUAAUUCAGUACGUAUUCUGUUAUAGCACCAGAAAACAAACUAAGACCAUAGCCUUUCCAGAUUGGCUUUUUCACUUAGUAAUAUACAUUUAAGCUUCCUCCAUGUCUUUUCGUGGCUUGAUACUUAAUUUAUGUUUAACAUUAAAUAAUUUUUCAUUGUCUAGAUGUACCACAGUUUAUUUAUUCAUUGCAUUUUUACUUAUUAAAGAAUAGUUCUGCUGUUUCCAAGCUUUGAAAAUUAUUAAUAAAGCUCCCAAAACAUUCUGUAAAAUUGCUAUCAAGAGCUCGGGUGCUGCUAUAACAAAUACCUAAAGUAUGUAAGUAGCUUUGGAAUUGGGUAAUCAGUAAAGGCUGGGAGAAUUUUGAGGUACAUGCUAGAAAAUGCACACAUUAUUGUGAAUAGCCUGUUAGGUCAAUUCCGGUGAGAACCCAAAAAGAAAAGAGAAUAGCUAUAGACAAAGCUUCAGUCUUCUUAUAGACUACCUAAGUCAUCAUGACCAGACUGUUGGUAGAAAUAUGAAAGGGAAAGGCCAUGCUGAUGAAGCCAGCUGAAAAUUAGGAACAUGUUAUCUGAUACUAGAGAAAAUGCAACCUUUGUUACAAAGUGACAAAAAAUUUUUGACUGAAUUUUGCUUGUGUUCUAGUUUUUAGUGAAAGAUAG